rnacentral:lncRNA from 1 species
GCUUAAGAUUUUUUUCUCUUUGAAUGGAAAUCAAAAUAUAUUUAAAGAAAUAAUUAUAAAUUUGAUUUUGUCAAGCGAUAAUUUCAUCGUCUUGAAAAAGAUUUGGUAGAAAAUAUUUUUUACAAAAAAAUACUUUUUCCUGAAUCAAAGAUGAAAACAAUUGGUUUGACUAUAAUUUUAAUCAUCAUGCUGUCAGUGUCUGAGGCGCAAGAUGGUAUAUUUUGGAGCUCGGAUAAAAAACAAAAACUAAAAAACAAAAACAUAGAAGAAAAAUUUGCAAUGGAAAUACGUCAUUUUAAAGACAUUAAGCCAUUAGAAAAUUUAGUUAUUAAAGCUGUCGAUGAAGCCAUCGAAGAACUAAUGUCAGAUAAUUG